UACAGGGGGUGCAAACGUUGCUCGGAAUUAUUGGGCGUAAAGAGCUCGUAGGCGGCCUGUCGCGUCGGCUGUGAAAACCCGAGGCUCAACCUCGGGCCUGCAGUCGAUACGGGCAGGCUAGAGUUCGGUAGGGGAGACUGGAAUUCCGGGUGUAGCGGUGAAAUGCGUAGAUAUCUGGAGGAACACCGGUGGCGAAGGCGGCAUCCUGGACCGGUAUUGACGCUGAGGCGCGAAAGCCAGGGGAGCAAACGGG
rnacentral:rRNA from 1 species